CAGAAACCGAGUAAGGUGACCGACCUACAGACUAUACAGAAUGAAAAGAGGCUGUUCCAGAACGAAAGAAAAACAACUUGCAGAAUUUUCCCAGUCUCCAAAAAGCCACAAGGGAAAGGAAGGACAAAGGUUUGGGCAUCGGGCUGUUCUGUGCGAGCAGGGCUCCAGAAGCCAUACAUGCGAUGCUGGUUCCAGCAAGCUUCACGGACAUCCUGCUAUCAGCCUGCCCCAGGACUCUGCGAGGGCUGGGGCAGUCUGGCAGGAAGCCAACAAGGCCUGCAUCUCUGCAGAGCGUUUCAGUUGUCCUGUGAUGUUGCUGAGUGGCUCUGGGUGACCAGCUUACUUCUUCCAUCGAGGCUGCCCCGGG
ensembl:lncRNA